rnacentral:tRNA from 1 species
AAUUAUGGGCUGCCAUAAUUAUCAAA